AAAAGGCGUCGUCAUUUCCCAUUUUACUCCAUUUUAUUCCUGCUAAUGUUUUGGUAGGUUUAAGUGUGGUGUUUGCAAAUAGGCUGGUGAAUAACUCAAAUCAUGGGCAGAAAAAAGAAGAAGCAGAUGAAGCCCUGGUGUUGGUACUGCAACAGGGACUUUGAUGAUGAAAAGAUUCUCAUUCAGCACCAGAAGGCCAAACAUUUUAAAUGUCAUAUAUGCCACAAGAAGUUAUACACUGGUCCUGGUUUGGCCAUCCACUGUAUGCAGGUUCACAAAGAAACUAUUGACGGUAUUCCUAAUGCAAUACCUGGAAGAAUUGACAUAGAGUUGGAGAUCUAUGGAAUGGAGGGUAUUCCAGAGAAAGACAUGGAGGAGAGGAGACGUGUUCUUGAACAGAAAACCCACGACAAUCAGAAGAAAAGACAGAACCAAGAUGACUCGGAUGAAGAUGAUGAGGACGAAGAGGCUGGGCCCUCCUUCCAACAGCCAGCAGCAUCCGCACAGCCUCAGGCAGCAUAUACCCCUAUGACCCAGCCAGGAAUGCCCCCUGUCCCAGCACCAGGAAUGCCACAUGGAAGCUACUCAGGAAUGCCCCCAAUGAUGCCUGGUGUUCCCCCAAUGAUGCCAGGGAUGCCCCCUGUAAUGCCAGGGAUGCCUCCAGGCAUGAUGCCAAUGAGUGGAAUGAUGCCACCUACACAUGGAAUGCCCCCAAUGAUGCCAGGCAUGCCACCAGGAAUGCAUCCUCCCAUGGGCCCUCAUCCUGGCUUGCCCCACAUGGCUCAGGCCCCUCCCACCACCAGGCCAGCUUUGCCUGCCGUCACAGUGCCUACACCACAGCCAGGUGUCUCCAAACCACUGUUUCCCAGUGCAGGACAGAUGGGGACUCGAGCUCCAAGCACAAGCUCAGCCUCCUCCAGUCUGGACACUUUGUCAGCAUCCUCUAAACCAUUGUCACAAGUCCAGCAGGCUGGUUCCAGUGCAGCAACAAGCUCCUCUGCCCCUCCUCCUGCUGCCCCCAAACCUACAUUCCCAGCCUACACCCAGUCCUCCACCCCUGCUGCCAACACCAGCAGCACUGUGGCUAAACCAGCCAUCCCAGUCACAAGUAAGCCCGCCACCCUCACCACCACCAGUGCAACCAGUAAGUUGAUCCACCCUGAUGAAGAUAUCUCGCUGGAGGAGUUGAGAGCACAGCUGCCUCGCUACCAGUGUAAAAUCCCCAGUGCGGGACAGGCUCGUGUUACCUCCCCGCCAGCUGCAGCAAUGGGAGGAGUGUUCCCCCCUCAGCAGGGUAUUCCUGCACAGCAGCCGGGCGUGAGGCAUCCCAUGCAAGGCCCAUAUGGUGCUCCACCCCAGGGAGUGUCUGGAUAUGUCCCAGGAGGGAUGCCUCCCUAUGGACAAGCCCCACCUAUGGUACCUCCUUACCAAGCCGCUCCCCCUCGGCCUGCCAUAGGCAUGAGACCCCCUGUAAUGUCCCCUGGAGGCCGAUAUUGAAGCAUCACCACUGGUCUUCAUUAGGUUUUUAGAAGUGAAGUGUAGUAAAUAUGGUUCGUAUUAAUUUGAAGCGGCUGGAGUUUCGUACAGCACCCUUUAUCAAGCAAUGCCAUGGGACUGGCUGAGGCAGAGUCUCAGUGUUGCCCUGCACAGGCUGAGGCAAGUCUCAAAUUUUCUCUUUUUACUUUCUGCACUCGAGGGGGCAUCACAGCUAAUGGCUGUUGGAUACAAAUGUCCCCAAACUUGGUGCAAGUUUGGCGAUGGCCCUCAAUUUUGUUUACUUCAGGGGAGUUCUGUUAACUAACAAUCAUAAAUAGUUUUUGCCAACGUGUUAGAUGUACACCAACAUGUUUGACUUGCAUAUUAAAGGAAUAUUUCGGGGUGUAAUCUGUGGCAUGCUGUCGAUUACCGCAGACAAUAUUUUCAGCUUGUCACUUGGUUUGUAAAAACAAAUUGGAAACUGGUAGGGGAAAAUAUUUACAGUGGGAGCCUAGUAGGCAAGUGGACAAAUGCAAGUAAAUUUUAAAUAUGCAACUUUACACGGUUUCAAAAGUGUAACCAUAACACUUAAAUGUUGCAUAUUAGCAUGACAGUGGUAUGAUAGAAUCACCUGCCAUCCUUGCAUCUGCUAGUGGCAUGGAGUUCAGUUCUGUAAACUGCCUUCACAAGAAUUACUUUGGUUAAAAAAAAAAAAAAAAAAUCCCUCUACCUAGAAAAGAAUGGAAUGUUUGUUUUCAAACAGCUUUCUGAAUAUACCGCCUGUCUGCUGUUGAUUGAACAGAUAGUCCCGCCACACACGCAGUCAAUGUUAUUGUGUCUGUACGGAUGGGUUGCUCAAAACAAACAAGAGGAAUUUUUAUAGCACCACAGUGUUUGUAGUUGUCUGCAUAUUAAGCUGCGAUAAGAGAAAGUAUUUUAACACAAAAAAAUUACACACUUCAGCUUUAAGAGCAUUAACAUGUUUUCCAUUAAUUUAUGCAAACUGAGGUAUGAGGUGAAAUAAUCAGGUGUGGUAAUCGACAACCUUUCACAAAUGCUGUUCUUAAAGGUUAAUAUGAAAAACAAUAAAAUAUGAAAAUAUAUUGUUUAACUUUUCCCUAUUUGACACCUAUAUAUAUUUUAUUUUUUUUUUUUUGAUAAAGCAUACUACAGUUUCAUAAUUAAACUAAUUAGAAGUGGCUGAACUAUAGCUUUCAAGUAAUGCCUGGUUUUACAUUUUCAUUAACAUAUUUACAAGCUCUUUACUGGUUUUGAAGAAACUCAGAUUUUCUUUACAUGAUGUGUUGAGGGGAGAUAAUGGUGUAAAUGACUGGUUUCCAUCUACAGAAAUACUUCAGUGGUUAAUUUGGUUUCAAGCAAAGCAUAGGAAUCAGGUGGUAUUGUGUUCUGAAAUGGCUUUUUUUUAAAAUUUUUUAUUUAUUUUUUUAUAUAAAUAAGUUUAGCUAUUUGUUGCUCUGUCUACCCUGUUUGUGUCUCUUAUCUGUCCAGCUACUGUUCAUUUACCCUUGGUUAUUAAGGAAAAUGUUAUCCAGGACCUCAUUUACAGGUUAGAGUAAGUAUAAUUAUUCAAGGUUUGUAAAUUUUGGUGUUUACCCACUGUUGAUGGGUAGUUUUGGUUAAAAGCAAGAGCCAUUGUUUAUCUACGUGCUGCAUGUCAACUGGUUUCUUCACCUGGUCUCCAGAAGGUUUUUUUGGUAAGUUUACAUCUUGUAGUCCUCAGUCUCUCCAUCCUCAUUCCUCUUGGGAAAACGAUGCAAAUAUAUACUUGUGAUCUGUUUGAGUUUGUAUAGAAACAUAGUUUGUGUAGAAAUUGCCCAUGAUCCAUCUGUUGCUUUACAGGUUGUUGUUGUUUUGUUUGUUUUUACCAGUAGAGCACAGAUAAAUUGACUUGGUGCCACCUUUACCUUUUGUCUUGUUUAAAUGCAAUAAAGGUCUCACAAAACCAACUGUGUAUUCUUUGUAUAUUGGAUCCUGUAUUUGUUUUAUCCUUGGAUUGGUUCUUGAAAGCACCAAGGUAAAAGAAGAAACAACUUGACGCUAAUGGCAAAUGUAUGUUUAUUUACAUUGAUUUAUUUAGCAGACACGUUUAUCUAAAACAACUUACAAGAGUACAGCAUAAGUGAUUCUAUCCUAAGGAGGGAGUAAUGAGAAGUGCUGCAAUACAAAGUUUCAAGUUUGUUCAGAGAAGCACAAGCAGACAGAAAAGUGAGAGACAGUGGUAAAAGAAUAGAUUACAUGGUUUUAUUUAUUUCUAUUCAGAAAAUGUUGAAUUAAUAGGAUUGAGCCAAGUGCUCACAGAUUAGUUGCAUCUUCUGAUAAUUAAGUGGUUUAUUUAUAAAAUCAAAAAGUAGAGUGUACAAAACUUUGUAGUAAUCUUUCCAGUAAUGGGACUUCUAUUCAACUGCAGAAGUCAGAGAGCAAAAGAGAAGUAUGCAGCAUAUGGACCUUAAAUAGAAUAAGAAAAUACUCUGUUUGAAUAACAAUUACUUGGUAUCCAAACAUGGAAACAUUCCAGUUGCUUUCACAUAAAUUCAAACAGGACAAUAAAUAGCUGAACAGAAAAGUACCAAAAGAUCUCACUUUCACUUUUAAUUCUAAAGGGAUUUCCACUCCAUGGUCUACAAUGCUUAACACACAAAACACUACUAUAACUGCUCUGUCUGUCUGUCUGAUUAAUUUCCUGUGCUUAGGUGGAGCACUCUGUUCAGAUGAAAAGAAUAGUCCUAGUACUAGGUGAAGCAGACUGAACAACUGUGUAUUAAAGGAGAGAUGAAUGUUUAAGCACACCAUGAGAGCCUGCUUAUUUCUUUGGAUCUUAUUGGAGCAGAUUUUAGACCUUUCAGCAUCUCAAGAUUUCCAUUACAUUCAAAGGCUUGAGGGUGAAUUGGUGGACAUUCUUUGUAUGGCACAACACAGAAAAUCACAACCAUUGCUGCUAUACCUGAGAAGGUGUGCUCAUUUAGAAAAGGUGUUUUUCUUUGAAGAUAAAAGCGUGAGAGCCGAUCCAGAGAUUGAGGGUCGCAUCAAGAUCUCUGGACAACUGAAUUCACGUGCAGUCAAUGUGACUCUUUUUAAUUUAAGACACACAGACACAGGGCUUUAUGUCUGUGAAUUCUUCACAGACCAUCCAUGUGACCAGCUCUCGGUUAACACAAACCUCCUCCUACUUGUGAAAACAGCAGAUGAGCCAUGUUCCUGUAGCAGUCAUUCUUUGGUCAUCUACAUCAUCUCUGUAGGAGUGUGUUUGCUCCUACUCACAGUCAUCACUGUCUCUGCAGCACAUUAU